UAUGUGCUGGAUGCACAGAUGUCAGACUAGGCAUGUGCUGGACUUGUGCUUCCACACCAAUGAGCUUGGACCUACAACUCAACAGGAAAUAAAUAAAUCACAGUUUCUCCCUUUACACCACAGAGGAAACCAAUUCUGCUUUCUGCACACCUUCUCCAUUCCUUCAUCUCCACCAGCAGCCACGGUGACCUGCCAAGUGCAGACUGAAAGGGAAUAUUUCACCCAGUAGCUCAUCAGAGAAGAUCACAACCAUCAGCCAGUUG